AUCACUUCUCAGCCUUUGGCUAAGAUCAAGUAUAGUAUCUAUUCUUAUCAGUUUAAUAUCUGAUAUGUCCUCUCUUUGAGGACAAUAUAUUCAAUGGAUUUUUGAAGCAGGAAGAUGGAAUAGGAGCUUGCUCCGUCCACUCCACUCAUUGACCUAGUAUUGACUUUGAGGAAUGGUGCACCCCCC